rnacentral:rRNA from 1 species
CAGCAGCCGCGGUAAAACGUAGGUCCCGAGCGUUGUCCGGAUUUAUUGGGCGUAAAGCGAGCGCAGGCGGUUAGAUAAGUCUGAAGUUAAAGGCUGUGGCUUAACCAUAGUACGCUUUGGAAACUGUUUAACUUGAGUGCAAGAGGGGAGAGUGGAAUUCCAUGUGUAGCGGUGAAAUGCGUAGAUAUAUGGAGGAACACCGGUGGCGAAAGCGGCUCUCUGGCUUGUAACUGACGCUGAGGCUCGAAAGCGUGGGGAGCAAACAGGAUUAGAUACCCGUGUAGUCCCUGUCUCUUAUACA